CUGAGUAGCUGGGAUUACAGGCACACCCCACGAUGCCCGGCUAAUUUUUUUUUUUGUAUUUUUAGUGGAGACGUGGUUUUACCAUGUUGGCCAGGAUGGUCUCGAUCUCCUGACCUUGUGAUCCGCCCGCCUUGGCCUCCCAAAGUGCUGGGAUUACAGGUGUGAGCCACCUCACCCGGCCCCAUCUGACUUUUCUAUAUUUUAUUUAUUCAGGAAAAUAGACAGAUGAUGGCAUUCGUCUCUUAAUGUUUUGUAGGCAAUUCUGUGGGAAAGAAGCACCCGUUGCUCUGUUUUCACAUACUUCCUUUUCUUUUCAGUGACAGAGACAUACUCAGGAAGGCUGGACCCAUGGAGGCUGCCCACCUUGUUCAUUGAUUUCUACUUGAUUGAUUCCUUCUUGAUUGAUUUCCAGGAUCUCUGAAACGAGAAGCCCUCCCCUUUAUAUGUUUAAUCAGAUAUUGCAAAGUGGACCUGAGAACGAGCCCGUCGGAAGCAGAUUAUGAAGGGGCCUAUGUUUUGAAUAUGCUGAACUGCUUUGGUUUGUGACUGGGGAAGAUUAAAGGCCUACAACAAAAAUGAGUGCUGGAUAUUGCUGACAAGAGAGGCUUCCUGUAAUUUCUCAGGCCAUAAGUAUUUAAGGGUCCACUGUUGACGCCAGCAUUGCAUUUCCCAUGUUCCUGCUUGACACACCUGUGCAGGUGGCAUGGUUUUAGCAGACCGAUCCAGAGAGAAGUAUCUGCAUUACAGUUAGACUGGAAGAAAAGUUAUUAAGUUGAGACUUUAAGGUAACCAGCCUUACCGACGUCACAGAAGUGUGUACGGAGAAGAGUUCCUGCCAGCUCAAGUAUUGUCUCCUCUGAUCAGAGUUCUCCUUGCACAGCUUAUUUCUGCUGUGAUAGAAAAACAGUCUGGGUGUCACAGAGAGAACUGAAGACAGGAAGUGGGAACUCUCCCUUCUGAAUACAGCACUAGAGUUAAUGUUAAGAGUGAGGGAAAAAAGCUAAGAGUAAUUCCUAUUGGUGAACUCAUUCAAUAUUCACAGACACCUAGGAGAUAGAUAUUCUUCUUCUUCUUCCCAUCUUCUAAGAAACUGAGGCCCAGAGAGGUUGAGUAAAUUACUCAAGAUUAAAUAGCACAGAUGGCAGAACAAAGAUGCAAACUCAGAAAGUCUGGCUCCAUUCUUUCUUUUCUUUUCUUUUCUUUUCUUUUCUUUUUUUUUUUUUUUUUGAGACAGGGUUUCGCUCUGUUGCCUGGCUGGAGUGCAGUGGUGCAAUCGUAGCUUAUAGCAGCCUUGACCUCCUGGGUUCAAGCGCUCCUCCCAUUUCAGCCUCCCAACUAGCUGGGACCACAGGCAUGCAUCCCCACAUCCAGUUAAUUUUUGUAUAUUUUUGGGGGUAGAGAUGGGGUUUCACCAUAUUGCACAGGCUGGUCUUGAAUUCCUGGACUCGUGAUCCACCUGCCUUGGCCUCCGAAAGUGUUGGGAUUACAGGUGUGAGCUACUGCACCCGACCCUGACUCCAUUCUUAACCACUAUAUUACAUUGAUGUAUGUGUCCUCUUCACCUGGCAAAUCUUUAUGGAAUUUGGAAUAAGGCAAGGAUGUACUGCAAUAGGAUGUCGUAUCUGGACUUUUUUAAAAAAGUGUCUUUGAUUAUAAGACAAAUUCCAUAGCAUAAGAACUCAGAAACCACAAUGUAACAAAUCUCUGAUGACUAUUUGCAAAUUAUUUUUCCAGUGUCCUAAAGAAUACGGCCCUGCCCUGAGAGAGUAAAAUCACCUGCCACAGUGGUCCUUUGCACUAGGACUUCCCCCUCAUUCUCUCGCCUUUAGGGAUGGGAUAGCUGAGAAGAAGGGCCAAGCGGAUUACUUGGGAACGUGCCACAUUGAUGGGAAUUCAGGUGGUCUUGCUAGACUUCUACUGGGCACUGCUUUCUUUAUAAUGCUAAGUGUAUAUAAUCUGUUUUAUAUGCUUUGAGAAUGCACUGUAAUUGGUACACUCUGAUAAUCAAAGCAAACUUAGUCACAUAUAUUAGACACCACAGAGAAGUGUGCAGUGGAGUGAAACUGCAAUUUAUAUUGCCGUGUUACACUAGUUUCAGCUCCAGUUUUUAUUCUAUGCGUGAAAUGUAGGAUAAGAUUGCUCCUGUUGCAGCUUUUAGAGUUACUUCUUUGACCAUGUUUGGUUUGGCAGUUAAGAAAAAAAUCAACAGCAGGAUUACAUUUCAAUGGCACAACAUCUAAUCCUCAGGCAAAUGAUUUGUCCACGCUUAAUAUAAAGUACUUAGGAUGUAUUGUUUGAUGUGAACACUAGUUCUAAUAAAAUGGUGCCUGAGGUACAGUUCUUUAACUUGUAAUACCCUUAUUUGUGUUGGCCUGUACACAUUGGAUAUAAAGCCAUCGUGAUAAAAUAUAUCCUCUUUAGCCUGAUAAAAAGGAAAAUCAGAGUAGAGGACCCAUACCAGGAGAGAGAAGAUGCUGUAAAACACAAAGCCCCUUAUGAUGUUUGUAGUUGGCCUUGAGGACACGCCCUUCAACACUUCUCUGAUGGGCACUUUCCCACUGUCUUGGAGGAGCGAUGGAGGUACCUUAUUUGAAUCUAACAUUGCGCUGAACCCAGCUCCAUUUCGCUGCUGCAUUUGUGAAGUCUUUCUAACUGGAAGGAGCAGCUGCAUCAACAUAGUGGAUGGCAAGCACAAAGGAAGGUUAAAGGAAGCAAAUACAAUUCAGCCUACCUCUGAUCGCAAUCUCUGCCCUCAAAUAUCCACUUGUUAGAACCUUUUUCUCCAGGACCCCGUGCUGCUUAGAAGCAUGCAAGGUUAAUAAUAGCAGGCAAAAAAAUGCGAGGCAUUUCAAGACGCAACAUUCAUCUUACCGUUCCACUAAUGCGGGGAUGACAGAAAGUCACUUUCAACCUCCUUUCCUGCUGCUUAUAUUACCUGCGUGUUGUGAGCUACUCCUCUAAGGUAUUGGAGAAUGAUUGCUGUUCAUAUGGUGUUAUAAGAAAGCUAGGCAUAUUUGCCAUUAUCCUCAUCUGAUUUAAUGCUUAUAAAUCAGCAAAAACUCCACCUCAAUCCACUUCUCUCUGUCUCUGAAGAGCAGACACUCAGUAAUAGCUUCAUUCCCAGUUCAUCUGAUGACUCACUUCCAGAAUACUGGUGAUUGAGAACCUUCUCUGUAAUUGUAGCUUUAGCUAAAGGAUGAAAAAUCACAGAAUCUAAAGUAAAGCGACUUGAGUUUUCAGCUUCCCGCCUUACCCUGACUCAUCUGCAACUCUUCAAAAGUUGUAGGAGAGGUGAGCUUCUCAAUGAGAUGCUGAGCAUUUUUUUUUUUUAAUU
rnacentral:lncRNA from 1 species